rnacentral:rRNA from 1 species
GCAGAGGCGGGGCGAGGGGUCGGGGAGAGAGGGAGGUUGCGAGUGGUAUCCGGAAGGAGGGGGGGUAAAGGGGGGGUGGGCGGGGGGAGAAGGGAGUGGGGAAAGGCCGGCGCGUAACGAGGUGACGGCCAGGGAGACGGGUGGACUUGAAACAGGAUGAGGUGGGCGGAAUGGGGGAGGUAGCUGUGAAAUGCUUAGAGAGGCCAGGGAAUACCGAUUGCGAAGGCAGCUGACGGGACCUGAAUUGACGCGGAGGCACGAAAGCGUGGGGAGCGAACAGGAUUAGAUACCCUGGUAGUC